rnacentral:rRNA from 1 species
UACGGGGGGAGCAAGCGUUGUUCGGAUUUACUGGGCGUAAAGGGCGCGUAGGCGGCCUGUGCAAGUCAGUUGUGAAAUCUCCGAGCUUAACUCGGAACGGUCAACUGAUACUGCUCGGCUAGAGUGCGGAAGGGGCAACUGGAAUUCUUGGUGUAGCGGUGAAAUGCGUAGAUAUCAAGAGGAACACCAGCGGCGAAGGCGGGUUGCUGGGCCGACACUGACGCUGAGGCGCGAAAGCUAGGGGAGCGAACGGG